rnacentral:rRNA from 1 species
AUUCGCUUUAGGAUGGACUCGCGUCCAAUUAGCUAGUUGGUGAGGUAACGGCCCACCAAGGCGACGAUUGGUAGCCGGACUGAGAGGUUGAACGGCCACAUUGGGACUGAGACACGGCCCAGACUCCUACGGGAGGCAGCAGUGGGGGAUAUUGCACAAUGGGGGAAACCCUGAUGCAGCGACGCCGCGUGGAGGAAGAAGGUUUUCGGAUUGUAAACUCCUGUCGUUAGGGACGAUAAUGACGGUACCUAACAAGAAAGCACCGGCUAACUACGUGCCAGCAGCCGCGGUAAAACGUAGGGUGCAAGCGUUGUCCGGAAUUACUGGGUGUAAAGGGAGCGCAGGCGGGAAGACAAGUUGGAAGUGAAAACCAUGGGCUCAACCCAUGAAUUGCUUUCAAAACUGUUUUUCUUGAGUAGUGCAGAGGUAGAUGGAAUUCCCGGUGUAGCGGUGGAAUGCGUAGAUAUCGGGAGGAACACCAGUGGCGAAGGCGGUCUACUGGGCACCAACUGACGCUGAGGCUCGAAAGCAUGGGUAGCAAACAGGAUUAGAUACCCUGGUAGUCCAUGCCGUAAACGAUGAUUACUAGGUGUUGGGGGAUUGACCCCCUCAGUGCCGCAGUUAACACAAUAAGUAAUCCACCUGGGGAGUA